rnacentral:rRNA from 1 species
CUUGCUCCCGGAUGUUAGCGGCGGACGGGUGAGUAACACGUGGGUAACCUGCCUGUAAGACUGGGAUAACUCCGGGAAACCGGAGCUAAUACCGGAUAGUUCCUUGAACCGCAUGGUUCAAGGAUGAAAGACGGUUUCGGCUGUCACUUACAGAUGGACCCGCGGCGCAUUAGCUAGUUGGUGAGGUAACGGCUCACCAAGGCGACGAUGCGUAGCCGACCUGAGAGGGUGAUCGGCCACACUGGGACUGAGACACGGCCCAGACUCCUACGGGAGGCAGCAGUAGGGAAUCUUCCGCAAUGGACGAAAGUCUGACGGAGCAACGCCGCGUGAGUGAUGAAGGUUUUCGGAUCGUAAAGCUCUGUUGUUAGGGAAGAACAAGUGCAAGAGUAACUGCUUGCACCUUGACGGUACCUAACCAGAAAGCCACGGCUAACUACGUGCCAGCAGCCGCGGUAAUACGUAGGUGGCAAGCGUUGUCCGGAAUUAUUGGGCGUAAAGGGCUCGCAGGCGGUUUCUUAAGUCUGAUGUGAAAGCCCCCGGCUCAACCGGGGAGGGUCAUUGGAAACUGGGAAACUUGAGUGCAGAAGAGGAGAGUGGAAUUCCACGUGUAGCGGUGAAAUGCGUAGAGAUGUGGAGGAACACCAGUGGCGAAGGCGACUCUCUGGUCUGUAACUGACGCUGAGGAGCGAAAGCGUGGGGAGCGAACAGGAUUAGAU